CUGUUCUACACCAGGUGGCUAAUUAUAGUUUUCCUUGGUUAUAAUAAAAGGCGUUCCCUUCCCCUCGAAGAGUCUGGAUGGGAGCAAGCACGACAUCACUGAAUAAGCUAAUCCUGACCAUAGGAUGCAAGAGGAGCUUCCAUUACCGCCCCAUCACACAAACCACGGGCUUAAACAGAGCAAAACAGCGAUUUGAAUAGCAAGCACUUAAAAAGCAUCCCUUGUUCUCCACCUCCACAUCCAACAGCCCUCCCCAGAGCAGACACGGCAUUCUGAGAGGAAUGGAAAUAUCCCUCCUAAGCACACGAAGCACAACAAAAGCCAAGUUAAGAAGGUUAGCGACUUAGUUGUCUCAGCAACAUGCCAUCAAGUUGAGAUGAGUAGGGAACUCUGAUAACAGGAGGGAGAGGGAAACAUCAAAAGCCACAAAGAGGAACAAGCCGGGGUGCCUAACAGAGCAAAGCCCCUUUCUCUCGCUGUUUCAUUAAGAGAAACUUAACUUUUAAACAGCACUCCAGAAAGCCGCGGCGGAAUCUGCUUCAGUGUAACCUGCGUCCUCGGCGUGUGUUAAGAAAUUGUGUUAUCAGCAUUUCCUGUGUGGCACCCUGUUCAAAAGCAAAACUGUUAGGGAUGUCCGUAUAAUUCCACGGAGAAACAAAAAUAGCGUCAUGUUAAAAUGGGACCUGAUGUUUCAAAAACAUUCUUAUCGGAAAUUAGUGGCAAGGGAUAAAUACAUUGAAAUGACCAGA